CCUACGGGAGGCAGCAGUGAGGAAUAUUGGUCAAUGGACGCAAGGCUGAACCAGCCAAGUCGCGUGCAGGAAGACGGCCCUAUGAGUUGUAAACCGCUUUUGUACGAGGGUAAACGCAGAUACGCGUCUCUGUCUGAAAGUAUCGUACGAAUAAGGAUCGGCUAACUCCGUGCCAGCAGCCGCGGUAAUACGGAGGAUUCAAGCGUUAUCCGGAUUUAUUGGGUUUAAAGGGUGCGUAGGCGGUCGGAUAAGUUAGAGGUUAAAUCCCGAGGCUCAACCUCCGAACUGCCUUUGAUAUUGUUCGUCUUGAGUGUAGGUGCGGUAGGCGGAAUGUAUGGUGUAGCGGUGAAAUGCAUAGAGAUCAUACAGAACACCGAUUGCGAAGGCAGCUUACCGAGCUACUUCUGACGUUGAGGCACGAAAGCGUGGGGAGUAAACAGGAUUAGAUACCCUAGUAGUC
rnacentral:rRNA from 1 species